ensembl:lncRNA novel transcript, antisense to HGS
AAGGCGGCGCGCUGCGCAGACGCAAAAGCGUCGUCUGUGGCGGCAGCUAGACAUCGGGCGACCCUCGUCCCGCCAGGUUUUGGGGUCGCGCAAACGAGCGACGGGGGCUGGGGCUCCGGAUUCAGGUGUUCUUUCUUCAGCGCUCACGGGUUUCUGUCCGUACGCGAUGCGAGCGAACGUCGCGGUCGAGGCUAGGGCCCCGAAGCCCGCAGUAAUCCACGUCUCCCGCCCGCUCCGGGCCCCCAGUGCCGCCGUCGCGGGCGGAGGCGCGAGGUCUGGGCUUUGGCGCCUUCGCAGCCGCAGGCGACAUCCUCUUUCCUAGCUAAAGCCCCAAACGCCCAGGUGGCUUCCUGGGAGAGCACGGCUGAGCCUCCGCCUUCAGAUCAGAACAGGCAGAGCCUCCAAGGGCGGCUUGGGCCCAGUGCCUGCUUAUCCUGCCCGUCUCUCCACACUUCUUCUUUCCCUGUCCGUUGGAGUCCAUUCCUUCCUGGAAAAGCCAAAGCCGCGCUCCCCUAAGAGGCCUGGAUGUGAAGGUGAGUGAGACGCCCUGGCCUCUGGGUGCAAAGGCCGGCGCCUGCCGCUUUCAACACUCAGGAGGCGCGUUUCAGCCCCGCUGGCCCCCGGCCGCAGACUCGGAGCGCUGAGCUCCCACCGUUCCCAUCACCCGACUCCCUUCCCAGGAAUGAGGAGCACCCGGGAAGCUUCAGCCACUACACGAAGGAGGCGCCAAGCCCAAACUCCUCCCCAGCUACCGGCGGGGUCAGUGCAGAGCCGCGGAGGGCACACAUGAACCCUGGCACGCAGCCUCAGGGAGGGGCAGGCUGGAAAUGACCCUGCCUGCAGCUGGGCCAUCAGCCUGACCACCUGCCCCCUGAGCAAACGUUGAUGCAGGUCGGGCGCGGUGGCUCAUGCCUGUAAUCCCAGCACUUUAGGAGCCCGAGGCAGGUGGAUCACCUGAGGUUAGGCGUUCACGACCAGCCUGGCCAACAUGGUGAAACACCGUCGCUACUAAAAAUACAAAAACUAGCCAGGCAUGGUAAUGGGGUGCACCUGUAGUCCAGCUACUCGGGAGGCUGAGGCCCGAGAAUCGCUUGAACCCAGGAGGCGGAGCUUGCAGUGAGCGGAGAUCACCACUCCAGCCUGGGUGACAGAGUGAGACUCCAUCUCAAAAAAAUUAAUUAAAGAAAAAACGCUGAUGCUUUCUGAAAUACAUUUUAUUAUCGCUGUACCAUUCUGGGGCACUGGAGAUGGCAGCUGAGAAGCAGAGAAGCUGGAGACCUGAAGCCUCCACCCUUGGCUGUGGCUGCCGAGAGAGGCCCCUGCAGAGGGAGCCCCAGGCCACACCCAGACACCACAGCCAGCUCACAGUGCGGCCAGAGGGCACAGGCUGCUUGGGGGGUGAGGGUCCCCAUUCCUGCCACCUCUCACAGACCAUGACCCACAGGGCUGGGGGCUUCCCCUGGGAGAAAGUCCUUCCCUCCCCAUGGCCCAGCCCUGGGGAAAGAAAGCAGAGACUAACUCAGGGACUGCAGUAGGCUGAGGACAAGGGAGGUGGGCUUGGGGUGAAGGCCCCCCCUCACUCGCAGAGAAGGGACACUACCGGCAGUAGAGGACAGGGAGGCAGGACGACGGCAGUUAGAGACGAGGCGUUUCAGGUGAACUGUAUGUAGUGUUACUCCGGACGUGAGCAUGGCCUGGGUCAGUCGAAUGAAAUGAGCUGGGCCUCGCUGCCCUGUGCCGGCGGCCCCUGUGCCUGCGGUUGCUGGGCCACGGGGGGCUGCUGCUGGGGGGGACCGCCAGAGGGUGCCAUCUGUGCAGGAGGAAAGCAGGCAUGGCCCUGGUCCUCCCUUCCCCAGCCCAGGGAGGAAGGCUUUUGUCCCAGCAGAGCCACAGACCCACAAGUGCUUGUAAUCCAUGUCCACGGACUGCAGCUCAUGCAGCCAGCUCAUGCGGCCUUUGCCUUUCAAGUAAAUUCACGGUUUUUCCUGUCUACA